AUCGCUUCUCGGCCUUUUGGCUAAGAUCAAAGUGUAGUAUCUGUUCUUAUCAGCUUAAUAUCUGAUACGGGUCCUAUUUGGACCCAAGAUAUUAAUCUUAUUUUUGGAACGCGGCGUAGUGCUUGAGGUUUACCUCACCUAUGCCACGGGUUGGCCUGGUAUUGCACUGCCUCCAGGAUCGGCCCACCCCCC
rnacentral:snRNA from 1 species